rnacentral:rRNA from 1 species
GAUGAACGCUGGCGGCGUGCCUAAUACAUGCAAGUCGAGCGAACGGACGAGAAGCUUGCUUUUCUGAUGUUAGCGGCGGACGGGUGAGUAACACGUGGAUAACCUACCUAUAAGACUGGGAUAACUUCGGGAAACCGGAGCUAAUACCGGAUAAUAUUUUGAACCGCAUGGUUCAAAAGUGAAAGACGGUCUUGCUGUCACUUAUAGAUGGAUCCGCGCUGCAUUAGCUAGUUGGUAAGGUAACGGCUUACCAAGGCAACGAUGCAUAGCCGACCUGGGAGGGUGAUCGGCCACACGGGAACUGAGACACGGUCCAGACUCCUACGGGAGGCAGCAGUAGGGAAUCUGCCGCAAUGGGCGAAAGCCUGACGGAGCAACGCCGCGUGAGUGAUGAAGGUCUUCGGAUCGUAAAACUCUGUUAUUAGGGAAGAACAUAUGUGUAAGUAACUGUGCACAUCUUGACGGUACCUAAUCAGAAAGCCACGGCUAACUACGUG